AAACUUGAGAAGAUUAGAUUGAGGCUGCUAACUUUGAUCUGGGGUUUAAUACAACUCCGCUUCUU
rnacentral:tRNA from 1 species